GACCUGUUAUACCGAUAGAACAGCUAGUACCAGACAAUGGAUGGAUGGUAAUAACUUUAUUGAGUUGUCCUGCAGUUUUGACGACCCGGGCUCAGGUCUCCCACGACGGGACGUCGAGAUCUUGUCUCAGCGCCGCCUCGCGGGCCUGCUGGACAGCCCCGAGUUGGUCGCCGAGGUCGGAGCUGCGCAGAGCGGCGGCCCACCUCAGCGAUAGGGUCUCGGAGUGUAAUUCGUUUUUGUGUUGGGCGUUACAUUCCCAUAGCAUGUGUUUGAGUGUAGCUGUUUCCUGUUUGCAUAUCUUGCAUGUGUCUUCUUUGGAAAUUAAUAAUAAACACUGCAACCGGUUGCGCAUUUGCUAAUCUUGUCGUUAAUGCUCUCGAAGUGUCUGAGCAUAUAUCCUUUCUCUUCCCUUUAUUUUAAUCUUUUCUUACCUAACAUUCCACCACAGACUGGCCCCUUCUACGCUUCCGAUGAUCCUACUGACGUCUUUCAACAGGCCUUAGGUGAUACUUUCGUGUGCCUUCGGAACACCGAUCUCGCGAAGCUAUCAUUGCAAGCGAUCGACGACCUGACUUCAUUCGGGAUGGAGUACGUCCACGUCAUUGGUUAGUCAUGCAAGCUUGGGUGCCAGCGACGUAUAUAUACGUUUUUCCAGGAAAUAAAUA